UACGGGGGGGGUAAGCGUUGUUCGGAAUUACUGGGCUUAAAGGGUGCGUAGGCGGCGCGACAAGUUGGGUGUGAAAUCCCUCGGCUCAACCGAGGAACUGCGCUCAAUACUGUCGUGCUCGAGGGAGACAGAGGUGAGCGGAACUUAGGGUGGAGCGGUGAAAUGCGUUGAUAUCCUAAGGAACACCGGUAGCGAAAGCGGCUCACUGGGUCUUUUCUGACGCUGAGGCACGAAAGCUAGGGUAGCGAACGGG
rnacentral:rRNA from 1 species